rnacentral:sRNA from 1 species
UUCGCACUCAUAUUUUUUUAUUUUAAUAGCAUGUUAUGUUUUUAAUGUUUUUUUUAGGAAUAUAUCUCUCUUGCAAGAUUAUUGUAAAUAUUUGCAGGGGUUUCCACAUUUCCACUGCGCUCUGUAUCAUCUUGGGUGCUAUUUGCCUGGUUUAUCAGAGACGCGACAUAUGCAAACAGCUCACGUAGGUAAAUAAACCAAAUAUAGAAAGGCACGAUCAACAACAACAAGCGGAGCAACUGGGGUGCCUCUUUGUGAUUUAUGGGAAUUAAUUGCUAAUUGUUGAUUUUGCCCCCUUAGAAAUUUGUGUCAUCUUUCAGUAAAAUCUUCCCAUCUAAUAUAGACAUUUGCAUCGCGACUAGAUGUGAAAACAGAUGCGCUUUUUUGAUUUCAGAACACAUUUUGUGUCGAGCAAAGUGAAAUACUUAUUUCUGAAUCAUUUGCGUGGGUUCUGGUUCUGUUUCCGAAUCUUUUCUACGCGAUUUGUAAUGGCCAAAGAGAUUGCGGUCACUUCGGAGAUUUCAUGUCAAAUCUUAUUUUAUUUUGACAGUCGCACUUUGAGAAAGUUUUGUAUUUGCAGCCGCUGCCAAGCGAAUGCGAACCAAAAAAAA